UUAAAUGAUUUCUUCGGAAUGAACUUAAGUGGAUUAGUGGCGGACGGGUGAGUAACGCGUGAGUAACCUGCCUUACACAAGGGGAUAGCCGUUGGAAACGACGAAUAAUACCCUAUGAAACUAUCACUUCGCAUGAAGCGAUAGUCAAAGUGUUAGCGGUGUAAGAUGGACUUGCGUCUGAUUAGCUAGUUGGUGAGAAAAAAGCCCACCAAGGCAACGAUCAGUAGCCGGCUUGAGAGAGUGUACGGCCACAUUGGGACUGAGACACGGCCCAGACUCCUACGGGAGGCAGCAGUGGGGAAUUUUGCACAAUGGGGGAAACCCUGAUGCAGCGACGCCGCGUGAUUUAGAAGGCCUUCGGGUUGUAAAAAUCUUUUGUAUAGGAAGAAAAUGACAGUACUAUACGAAUAAGGUCCGGCUAAUUACGUGCCAGCAGCCGCGGUAAUACGUAAGGACCGAGCGUUGUCCGGAAUCAUUGGGCGUAAAGGGUACGUAGGCGGGUCAUUAAGUUAGAAGUCAAAGGCUAUAGCUCAACUAUAGUAAGCUUCUAAAACUGGCGACCUUGAGUAAUGGAAGGGAAAGUGGAAUUCCUAGUGUAGCGGUGGAAUGCGCAGAUAUUAGGAGGAAUACCGGUGGCGAAGGCGACUUUCUGGCCAUUAACUGACGCUGAGGUACGAAAGCGUGGGUAGCAAACAGGAUUA
rnacentral:rRNA from 2 species